rnacentral:rRNA from 1 species
CCUACGGGGGGCAGCAGUGGGGAAUAUUGGUCAAUGGAGGCAACUCUGACCCAGCAAUGCCGCGUGAAUGAAGAAGGUCUUCGGAUUGUAAAGUUCUUUAAUCAGGGACGAAGAAGAUGACGGUACCUGAGGAAUAAGCCACGGCAAACUAUGUGCCAGCAGCCGCGGUAAUACGGAGGAUGCGAGCGUUAUCCGGAUUUAUUGGGUUUAAAGGGUGCGUAGGCGGAAGGUUAAGUCAGCGGUCAAAUGUCGGUGCUCAACACCGGCCUGCCGUUGAAACUGGUCUUCUUGAGUGAGCGAGAAGUAUGCGGAAUUCGUGGUGUAGCGGUGAAAUGCAUAGAUAUCACGAAGAACUCCGAUUGCGAAGGCAGCAUACCGGCGCUCGACUGACGCUGAGGCACGAAAGCGUGGGGAUCGAACAGGAUUAGAUACCCCUGUAGUC